rnacentral:rRNA from 1 species
CAGUAGCCACGGGAAUACGGAGGGUGCAAGCGUUAAUCGGAAUUACUGGGCGUAAAGCGCACGUAGGCGGCUUGGUAAGUUAGAGGUGAAAGCCUGGAGCUCAACUCCAGAAUCGCCUUUAAGACUGCCGAGCUAGCAGGUGAGAGAGGUAAGUGGAAUUCCGAGUGUAGAGGUGAAAUUCGUAGAUAUUCGGAAGAACACCAGUGGCGAAGGCGGCUUACUGGCUCAUACUGGACUCUGAGGUGCGAAAGCGUGGGGAGCAAACAGGAUUAGAUACCCCGGUAGUCCCUGUCUCUUAUAA